rnacentral:rRNA from 1 species
UGCAUAUCCAAUAAGCGGAGGAAAAGAAACCAACAGGGAUUGCCCUAGUAACGGCGAGUGAAGCGGCAACAGCUCAAAUUUGAAAGCUAGCCUUCGGGUUCGCAUUGUAAUUUGUAGAGGAUGAUUUGGGGAAGCCGCCUGUCUAAGUUCCUUGGAACAGGACGUCAUAGAGGGUGAGAAUCCCGUAUGUGACAGGAAAUGGCACCCUAUGUAAAUCUCCUUCGACGAGUCGAGUUGUUUGGGAAUGCAGCUCUAAAUGGGAGGUAAAUUUCUUCUAAAGCUAAAUAUUGGCGAGAGACCGAUAGCGCACAAGUAGAGUGAUCGAAAGAUGAAAAGCACUUUGGAAAGAGAGUUAAAAAGCACGUGAAAUUGUUGAAAGGGAAGCGCUUGCAAUCAGACUUGUUUAAACUGUUCGGCCGGUCUUCUGACCGGUUUACUCAGUUUGGACAGGCCAGCAUCAGUUUCGGCGGCCGGAUAAAGGCUCUGGGAAUGUGGCCUCCACUUCGGUGGAGGUGUUAUAGCCCAGGGUGUAAUACGGCCAGCCGGGACUGAGGUCCGCGCUUCGGCUAGGAUGCUGGCGUAAUGGUUGUAAGCGACCCGUCUUGAAACACGGACCA